CCCUUAGAUGUUCUGGGCCGCACGCGCGCUACACUGAUGCGUUCAACAAGUUUCCUUGGCCGAGAGGCCUGGGCAAUCUUCUUAAUAUGUAUCGUGAUAGGGAUAGAUUAUUGCAAUUAUUAAUCUUGAACGAGGAAUUCCUAGUAAACGCAGAUCAUCAAUCUGCAUUGAUUACGUCCCUGCCCUUUGUACACACCGCCCGUCACACCUACCGAUUGGAUGUUCCGGUGAAGCCUCGGGAUGAGGACUGGUGCCUUUAUUGGCAUGAGUUGUUCAGAACUUGUCUAAACCUUAUCAUCUAGAGGAAGGUGAAGUCGUAACA
rnacentral:rRNA from 1 species